rnacentral:rRNA from 1 species
UAGGGAAUCUUCCACAAUGGGCGCAAGCCUGAUGGAGCAACGCCGCGUGAGUGAAGAAGGUCUUCGGAUACGUAAAACUCUGUUGUUAGAGAAGACAUGCGAGAGAGUAACUGUUCUUGUAUUGACGGUAUCUAACCAGAAAGCCACGGCUAACUACGUGUCAG